rnacentral:misc_RNA from 1 species
UCCUGGUUAACCCAGGCAGUCUCCUUAGAGUGCCCAACUUAAUGCUGGCAACUAAGGACGAGGGUUGCGCUCGUUGCGAGACUUAACCCAACAUUUCACAACACGAGCUGACGACAGCCAUGCAGCGCCUCUCAUCACAUUCCCCGAAGGGCACCCCGAUAUCUCUACCAGGUUCGUGAGAGUUCAAGCCCAGGUAAGGUUCUUCGCGUUGCUUCGAAUUAAACCACAUAAUCCACCGCUUGUGCGGGCCCCCGUCAAUUCCUUUGAGUUUUAAUCUUGCGACCGUACUUCCCAGGCGGAGCACUUAAUGCGUUAGCUGCGAUUCAGGAGGGGUCAAUACCCCCCAAAUCUAGUGCUCAUCGUUUACGGCGUGGACUAC